CUCUUGCUUUCGGCGUCACUAGAGCGACACAUGCGGCGGUCUUUUUUUCUACUUACAGCAGCACAACUCGAGUUGGUGAAGUUGUCGAUUUCAUUCGUAUUUUGUGAAUACGCUCACAAAAGCCAUGGAAGUAGCCACUGUACCGCGCACGAGGCGUCUAUUGAAGGAGGAAGACAUGACCAAGAUCGAGUUUGAGACCAGCGAGGAGGUCGAUGUUACUCCUACUUUCGACACGAUGGGCCUACGAGAGGAUCUCCUCCGUGGGAUAUACGCAUACGGAUUCGAGAAGCCUUCCGCAAUCCAACAAAGAGCAAUUAAACAGAUCAUCAAGGGUAGAGAUGUCAUUGCACAGUCUCAGUCAGGAACAGGAAAGACUGCCACGUUUUGCGUAUCAGUGCUGCAGUGUCUUGACAUUCAGGUGCGUGAAACCCAGGCACUGAUCCUGGCUCCUACCAGAGAGUUGGCUGGACAGAUACAGAAGGUGCUCCUGGCCCUAGGUGACUACAUGAACGUCCAGUGUCAUUCCUGCAUCGGAGGGACAAACGUGGGUGAGGACAUCCGCAAACUGGACUAUGGCCAGCACGUGGUAGCAGGGACCCCUGGGAGAGUGUUUGAUAUGAUCCGCAGGAGGAGUUUGAGGACGCGUGCCAUCAAGAUGCUGGUGCUGGACGAAGCAGACGAAAUGCUCAACAAGGGUUUCAAAGAGCAGAUCUACGACGUGUACCGGUACCUGCCCCCCGCCACCCAGGUCUGUCUGAUCAGCGCCACGCUGCCCCACGAGAUCCUGGAGAUGACCAACAAGUUCAUGACCGACCCCAUCCGCAUCCUGGUCAAACGUGAUGAGUUGACUCUAGAGGGCAUCAAGCAGUUCUUUGUGGCAGUAGAGAGGGAGGAGUGGAAGUUUGACACCCUGUGUGACCUGUACGACACCCUCACCAUCACGCAGGCGGUCAUCUUCUGCAACACCAAGCGGAAGGUUGACUGGCUGACUGAGAAGAUGAGGGAGGCCAACUUCACCGUUUCCUCCAUGCACGGAGACAUGCCCCAGAAGGAGAGGGAGUCCAUCAUGAAAGAGUUCCGGUCCGGCGCCAGCCGAGUGCUUAUCUCCACUGAUGUGUGGGCCCGAGGUCUGGACGUGCCCCAGGUGUCCCUCAUCAUCAACUACGACCUGCCCAACAACAGAGAGCUGUACAUCCACAGGAGCUUCGGCUUGUCAGGGCAACGAUUUACUGGUGUUUUUGUCCCUCAACCUCCUCUCUUCAUAGGAUUGGCCGAUCGGGCCGUUACGGCCGCAAGGGUGUGGCCAUUAACUUUGUGAAGAACGACGACAUCCGUAUUCUCCGUGACAUUGAGCAGUACUAUUCCACACAGAUCGAUGAAAUGCCAAUGAACGUGGCUGACCUGAUCUAAGGCGCUGGUGAUGGAAGUGGAGAGACCGCUUUGAUUACACUUUGGACCCCUUUUUAUUUACUUAGAAUUCUUGUCUCAUUUGUUUUGUUUUUAAUAGUAGCUUUGGAACAGCCUUUGAAUUUGUGAUGACUAUUGUAUUCUAAGGGAAAUGCCUACUGCAACCAUCAGUUGUUUUGUAAAUAAAGAACAUUUUGUUUCCCAUUUGAA